rnacentral:rRNA from 1 species
AUGGCGCCUCCUCCUCCCCUAGACGACCUCACCCACCUGCUCGCCGAGGUAGCUUCCCGCCUCGCCCGCCCUCCUGGCGGCAGUCUGGGCCCCUCCUCCGUCGCCGCCGACGCGCUCUCCGCCUCCAUCUCCUCCCUCGCGGCGGCCCUCAACCCCCGCGCCGCCGCCCCCGCCUCCUCCGGAACCAGGGUGCUCGACGCCGCGCUCACCCUCAUGNNNNNNNNNNNNNNNNNNGUGGAUAGGGCUCGCCUGGACUGCCUCGUCCGCACCGCCGUCUCCGCGCUCUCCGACUCGGCCUCGUGCCGAGUGGCCCGGACCGACGACCGCGCUGAGAUGCUCUGCGUCGGGAGCUCCGUCUCGCCCCGGGACUGCCGCGAGCUGGUCCGCUCCUGCGCCGCCCUCGUCGACAAAUUGGGGGGCCGGGAUGUUGCGGGGCAUUCCUAUGAUCUGUUGCAUGCUGCUGUCGAAACAGCCCUGUUAUCCCCUCGUUACCAGUGUCUCUUUCCUUUGCCAUAUUACAGAGAAGAUGGAGAAGGCAGUUGCGAGAUGGGUACCAUUUCUCUGGAUGUGACAACCCAUCCAUCUUAUCAAGUGCUUCCCAGUGAUGGCUCAAUCCCGCCGAGGGCCCUUUUGUGGCAUCACGACCCAUCAAUUCUGAAACAUGAUCUUUCAGAGAUGCUACGAGAAGCAAUCACAAGGCCUUUGCUAUGUCUGAGAAAAGAAUUACAUGAUCGGGAAGCAUGGCGUGUGAUUGUAAUAUGCUUAGUUUGCUCCCCACCAGCGUUCUUGGAGAUGCGGUCAUUAUUCCAUAUAUGGUUUCUUGCGACGGGUAUGGGUUCUGUGCUAGGACUUUGCACAGCAGUGGUAUCAUCAGUAUUAGAUAUUCUUCUCGAGCCUACGGGAUGGGGAAUAUCCAUGGAACUAGGACAGAAAUUUCCCUUUACAUAUGCUUAUUUCCCAAGCCAACAAAGGGAUUUACUUGCCAUACUAACUGGGCCCAUAUCAUGCAGACGAUUUUUGGAUCUUGUUUCUUACAUAGAAGCUAUGGUUUUCUUGGGUAAAACAAACAGCGACAACUCUUCAUGGAAAAACAUACAAUCACAACCAUCAAAAGGGUCACACUUUGGCAAGAAACAACCAUCAAAGGGAUUGGUCAAAUUCAAAUACAGUUCUGCUUGGUUGACAAUUACGAACUUCCCUACCUGGUUCAGUUUUGCCACUGCUCUACUAUUUCACCAGGAAGGUUCACAAGGUUAUUUAUCAGAAGUAUUAUCUGAGGAGAAAACUGCUGAAUCAAUAAGUGAUAUCAAUCUUGCUCAGAGGGCAGCAUUUUACCUUUCGUGGGUGUUAUGCCCUUCUAAUGGUGAUGAAUGCCAGAUGUUAGCUAACAAUAUGGUGGAGUUAUCACAUUCUUGGGCCAGGAACAACAAAAAGCGCCCAAGUAAUCCACACCAUAGCAGUACGGUAAAUCACCGGAGGAGACUGCGAGUACCCACAGUAGGGGAUACAGAGAAACUUAAUGUGUCAACCAACCCUGUCAGUUCCCUUAUUAAAGAUUUUGAUGAUCGCUGUGCGAAGUUUUGUCGCAUAACUGCUGUCAGUCAAGUGCAAGGUGCAGAUCAAUUAGACGUCCCUCUCUCAUGCCCUAAUUUUCUGCAUUUACGGGUUCCUUUAGGGGUGUUGCUUGUGUCCUUUGCUUGUAUUAGUGAGCAAGACUGUAACGUGCUUCUGCACUACGCAAGCACUGGUCUGGUUAUGGAGUCAAAGGAAGGGCAGACAAAAAGGAAAGAUCAGGCUGGCAAUGAUGUUUUUUCAUCUAGUCGUGGAGGUUCUACUGAAAGAUGGGCUUUAAGUGGUGCAUGUCUCAUCUUUGGCUGGCUUGACAUUAUUGAGGAUAUGUCUGCAGUGAUCUUUGAAUGUGAAGAUACAUGUCGUCAUUUUGUCAGUCAACUCAGAACCAAGACAGGCCCAUACCUGCUCAAGUGUGUAAAUUUAUUGCUGAAUGAGGCGGGUCAUGAUAAAGAUUUUGUAAUCGAUCUUCGUGACAGAUUGUUAAACUGGACUAAUAAAGGGCAGCGUUUUGAUGGUUGUGAGGCAUUCAAAGACGUUAUCGUUCAAAUGAACGCAAAAAUUCAGCCCUCUUCAUAG